rnacentral:piRNA from 1 species
GAAAUUUUGUAGUUCUUUGAGAACACUGGG